rnacentral:rRNA from 1 species
AGCGGCGGACGGGUGAGUAAUGCUUAGGAAUCUGCCUAUUAGUGGGGGACAACAUUCCGAAAGGAAUGCUAAUACCGCAUACGCCCUACGGGGGAAAGCAGGGGAUCUUCGGACCUUCGCUAAUAGAUGAGCCUAAGUCAGAUUAGCUAGUUGGUGGGGUAAAGGCCUACCAAGGCGACGAUCUGUAGCAGGUCUGAGAGGAUGAUCCGCCACACUGGGACUGAGACACGGCCCAGACUCCUACGGGAGGCAGCAGUGGGGAAUAUUGGACAAAGGGCGAAAGCCAGAACCAGCCAUGCCGCGUGUGUGAAGAAGGCCUUUGGGUUGUAAAGCACUUUAAGCGAGGAGGAGGCUACUUGGAUUAAUACUCUAGGAUAUGGACGUUACUCGCAGAAUAAGCACCGGCUAACUCUGUGCCAGCAGCCGCGGUAAUACAGAGGGUGCGAGCGUUAAUCGGAUUUACUGGGCGUAAAGCGUGCGUAGGCGGCUUUUUAAGUCGGAUGUGAAAUCCCUGAGCUUAACUUAGGAAUUGCAUUCGAUACUGGCGAAGCUAGAGUAUGGGAGAGGAUGGUAGAAUUCCAGGUGUAGCGGUGAAAUGCGUAGAGAUCUGGAGGAAUACCGAUGGCGAAGGCAGCCAUCUGGCCUAAUACUGACGCUGAGGUAUGAAAGCAUGGGGAGCAAACAGGAUUAGAUACCCUGGUAGUCCAUGCCGUAAACGAUGUCUACUAGCCGUUGGGGCCUUUGAGGCUUUAGUGGCGCAGCUAACGCGAUAAGUAGACCGCCUGGGGAGUACGGUCGCAAGACUAAAACUCAAAUGAAUUGACGGGGGCCCGCACAAGCGGUGGAGCAUGUGGUUUAAUUCGAUGCAACGCGAAGAACCUUACCUGGUCUUGACAUAGUAAGAACUUUCCAGAGAUGGAUUGGUGCCUUCGGGAACUUACAUACAGGUGCUGCAUGGCUGUCGUCAGCUCGUGUCGUGAGAUGUUGGGUUAAGUCCCGCAACGAUCGCAACCCUUUUCCUUAUUUGCCAGCGAGUAAUGCAGGGAACUUUAAGGAUACUGCCAGUGACAAUCUGGAGGAAAGCGGGGACGACGUCAAGUCAUCAUGGCCCUUACGACCAGGGUUACACACGUGCUACAAUGGGCGGUACAAAGGGUCGCUACCUAGCGAUAGGAUGCUAAUCUCAAAAAGCCGAACGUAGUCCGCAUUGGAGUCUCCAACUCGACCCCAUGCAGUCCGAAUCGCUA